UCGACGAACGACCCCUUCGUGCGGCUCCAAGUCGUGGACGGAAAACCCCAGGUCUACGAAAAGCUCCGAGCCGGAUGAGCCACCCGAAUUCUUUCCCUCCCCCCUCUCCCACCAAGCAGCGUCGGCCACCACCAAGCAGUGUAGCCGCCGCCUCCACCGCUAGUGCCUCCGCCCACCGGUUGCUAUCAUAUGCUGCAGAUAGGUAUUGGACAAUUUUUGCUCCAGCAACUUAGUGGUAUCAAUGGUGUUUCUAUAAAGCCUCAUAUCCAGUGGAACAUGCAAGUUCUUCAUUGGCAACGUGCAAGUUCUCCAAUGAUGUGAUUUAAACAAGAUCAAGAAGCCAAAAGAUAUAGUUGUGACAAACAAUUUUUUUGAUUGGUUUAGUUGGAUGUUGGUGGGAGAGGAUUUUUUUUUUUUAUAGUGCUAACAGUUUCCACAUUUUAGAGUAAUGCUGAUAGCUUGAUAUUUUUCGUGUAACUGAUAGAUUUGGUUGUUGUUGAUUAGUUUGGUUGUUUGCUGGUUUUGUCCAGUUGGUUGUUGGUUUUUGUUUCGAUUUUGAGCUAGAUUGCUCAUUAGUUUUGUUGGUUUGAACAAUUUUGUACAAUUGCUUUGAUUUCAAUAUAGAAUGUUGCCUUAUUUCAA